GAUGGAUAACAGGUUGAUAUUCCUGUACCACCUAUAAUCGUUUUAAUCGAUGGGGGGACGCAGUAGGAUAGGCGAAGCGUGCGAUUGGAUUGCACGUCUAAGCAGUAAGGCUGAGUAUUAGGCAAAUCCGGUACUCGUUAAGGCUGAGCUGUGAUGGGGAGAAGACAUUGUGUCUUCGAGUCGUUGAUUUCACACUGCCGAGAAAAGCCUCUAGAUAGAAAAUAGGUGCCCGUACCGCAAACCGACACAGGUAGUCAAGAUGAGAAUUCUAAGGUGAGCGAGCGAACUCUCGUUAAGGAACUCGGCAAAAUGACCCCGUAACUUCGGGAGAAGGGGUGCUCUUUAGGGUUAACGCCCAGAAGAGCCGCAGUGAAUAGGCCCAAGCGACUGUUUAUCAAAAACACAGGUCUCUGCUAAACCGUAAGGUGAUGUAUAGGGGCUGACGCCUGCCCGGUGCUGGAAGGUUAAGAGGAGUGGUUAGCUUCUGCGAAGCUACGAAUCGAAGCCCCAGUAAACGGCGGCCGUAACUAUAACGGUCCUAAGGUAGCGAAAUUCCUUGUCGGGUAAGUUCCGACCCGCACGAAAGGCGUAACGAUUUGGGCACUGUCUCAACGAGAGACUCGGUGAAAUCAUAGUACCUGUGAAGAUGCAGGUUACCCGCGACAGGACGGAAAGACCCCGUGGAGCUUUACUGUAGCCUGAUAUUGAAAUUCGGCACAGCUUGUACAGGAUAGGUAGGAGCCUUUGAAACGUGAGCGCUAGCUUACGUGGAGGCGCUGGUGGGAUACUACCCUAGCUGUGUUGGCUUUCUAACCCGCACCACUUAUCGUGGUGGGAGACAGUGUCAGGCGGGCAGUUUGACUGGGGCGGUCGCCUCCUAAAAGGUAACGGAGGCGCUCAAAGGUUCCCUCAGAAUGGUUGGAAAUCAUUCAUAGAGUGUAAAGGCAUAAGGGAGCUUGACUGCGAGACCUACAAGUCGAGCAGGGCCGAAAGACGGACUUAGUGAUCCGGUGGUUCCGCAUGGAAGGGCCAUCGCUCAACGGAUAAAAGCUACCCCGGGGAUAACAGGCUUAUCUCCCCCAAGAGUUCACAUCGACGGGGAGGUUUGGCACCUCGAUGUCGGCUCAUCGCAUCCUGGGGCUGUAGUCGGUCCCAAGGGUUGGGCUGUUCGCCCAUUAAAGCGGUACGCGAGCUGGGUUCAGAACGUCGUGAGACAGUUCGGUCCCUAUCCGUCGUGGGCGUAGGAAAUUUGAGAGGAGCUGUCCUUAGUACGAGAGGACCGGGAUGGACAUACCUCUGGUGUACCAGUUGUCGUGCCAACGGCAUAGCUGGGUAGCUAUGUGUGGACGGGAUAAGUGCUGAAAGCAUCUAAGCAUGAAGCCCCCCUCAAGAUGAGAUUUCCCAACUUCGGUUAUAAGAUCCCUCAAAGAUGAUGAGGUUAAUAGGUUCGAGGUGGAAGCAUGGUGACAUGUGGAGCUGACGAAUACUAAUCGAUCGAAGACUUAAUCA
rnacentral:rRNA from 1 species